AUCAGACACGGUGUCAGCAGCCGCGGUAAUACGUAGGUGGCAAGCGUUGUCCGGAUUUAUUGGGCGUAAAGCGAAGUGCAGGCGGUUCAAUAAGUCUGAUGUGAAAGCCUUCGGCUCAACCGGAGAAUUGCAUCAGAAACUGUUGAACUUGAGUGCAGAAGAGGAGAGUGGAACUCCAUGUGUAGCGGUGGAAUGCGUAGAUAUAUGGAAGAACACCAGUGGCGAAGGCGGCUCUCGUGGUCUGCAACUGACGCUGAGGCUCGAAAGCAUGGGUAGCGAACAGGAUUAGAUACCCGUGGUAGUCCGAUGCCGUAAACG
rnacentral:rRNA from 1 species